UACGGGGGGGAGCAAGCGUUGUUCGGAUUUACUGGGCGUAAAGGGCGCGUAGGCGGUCGUGACAAGUCACUUGUGAAAUCUCCGGGCUUAACUCGGAACGGUCAAGUGAUACUGUCGGACUAGAGUACAGAAGGGGCAACUGGAAUUCUCGGUGUAGCGGUGAAAUGCGUUAGAUAUCGAGAGGAACACCGAUGGCGAAAGGCAACCCCCCUGGGUUAACACUGACGCUCAUGCACGAAAGCGUGGGGAGCAAACAGG
rnacentral:rRNA from 1 species